rnacentral:rRNA from 1 species
UGGUGGGUUGCCUUGUCAGGUUGAUUCCGGUAACGAACGAGACCUCAGCCUGCUAACUAGUCACGCGUGCUCCGGCACGCGGCGGACUUCUUAGAGGGACUAUUGGCGAUUAGCCAGUGGAAGCAUGAGGCAAUAACA